rnacentral:rRNA from 1 species
CGCUUGCGGCAUGGCUAAAACAUGCAAGUCGAACGCGAAAGUACUUCGGGUGCGAGUAGAGUGGCGAAAGGGCGAGGAAUACGUUUCUAACGUGCCCCUGGGUGAGGGAUAGCAUCGGGAAACCGGUGGUAAUACCUCAUGAUCCCCGGUUGUCGCAUGGCAGCCGGGGCAAAGGUUUACCGCCCGGGGAUCGGGAAACGUCCUAUCAGGUAGUUGGUGAGGUAACGGCUCACCAAGCCUUAGACGGGUAGCGGGCGUGAGAGCGUGACCCGCCGCAUCGGGACUGAGACACUGCCCGGACUCCUACGGGAGGCUGCAGUAACGAAUAUUCCGCAAUGCGCGAAAGCGUGACGGAGCAAUGCCGCGUGAAGGAUGAAGCCCCUCGGGGUGUAAACUUCUGUCAGGGAAUAGGAACAAAAUGACCGUUCCCAAAGGAAGGGCCGGCUAACUUCGUGCCAGCAGCCGCGGUAAUACGAAGGGCCCGAGCGUUGCGCGGAAUCACUGGGCUUAAAGGGUGCGUAGGCGGAACUGUAAGUACUUUGUGAAAUCCCUCGGCUCAACCGGGGAAUUGCUUGGUAUACUGCGGUUCUUGAGGCCAGUAGGGGCAGCCGGAACUCUAGGUGGAGCGGUGAAAUGCAUAGAUAUCUAGAGGAACGCCAAAGGUGAAGACAGGCUGCUGGGCUGGACCUGACGCUGAGGCACGAAAGCGUGGGGAGCAAACAGGAUUAGAUACCCUGGUAGUCCACGCCGUAAACGUUGUGCACUAGGUCCCGGAGGUUUUGACGCCAUCGGGGCUGGAGCAAAAGUAUUAAGUGCACCGCCUGGGGAGUACGGUCGCAAGGCUAAAACUCAAAGGAAUUGACGGGGGCUCACACAAGCGGUGGAGCAUGUGGCUUAA